UAACGUGUGGGCAACCUGCCUCAUACAGAGGGAUAAUCAUGUGAAAACGUGACUAAUACCGCAUGUCAUUUGUUGAAGGCAUCUUCGACAAAGAAAAGGAGCGAUCCGGUAUGAGAUGGGCCCGCAUCUGAUUAGCUAGUUGGUGAGAUAACAGCCCACCAAGGCGACGAUCAGUAGCCGACCUGAGAGGGUGAUCGGCCACAUUGGGACUGAGACACGGCCCAAACUCCUACGGGAGGCAGCAGUGGGGAAUAUUGCACAAUGGGGGAAACCCUGAUGCAGCAACGCCGCGUGAAGGAAGACGGUUUUCGGAUUGUAAACUUCUAUCAAUAGGGACGAAGAAAGUGACGGUACCUAAAUAAGAAGCCCCGGCUAACUACGUGCCAGCAGCCGCGGUAAUACGUAGGGGGCAAGCGUUAUCCGGAAUUACUGGGUGUAAAGGGUGAGUAGGCGGCAUGACAAGUAAGAUGUGAAAGCCCGUGGCUUAACCACGGGAUUGCAUUUUAAACUGUUGAGCUAGAGUACAGGAGAGGAAAGCGGAAUUCCCAGUGUAGCGGUGAAAUGCGUAGAUAUUGGGAAGAACACCAGUGGCGAAGGCGGCUUUCUGGACUGAAACUGACGCUGAGGCACGAAAGCGUGGGGAGCAAACAGGAUUAGAUACCCUGGUAGUCCACGCCGUAAACGAUGAGUGCUAGGUGU
rnacentral:rRNA from 1 species